rnacentral:rRNA from 1 species
AGAGUUUGAUCCUGGCUCAGGACGAACGCUGGCGGCGUGCCUAACACAUGCAAGUCGAACGGUGGAAGCUACUUAGUUUACUAAGUAGUGGAAACAGUGGCGAACGGGUGAGUAACGCGUGAGUAACCUGCCCUAAAGACUGGGAUAACCCUGCGAAAGUGGAGCUAAUACCAGAUAUGCUCUUAGUAUCGCAUGAUACAGAGAGGAAAGAAAAUCACUUUAGGAUGGGCUCGCGUCCCAUUAGCUAGUUGGUAAGGUAAAAGCUUACCAAGGCAACGAUGGGUAGCCGGUCUGAGAGGAUGAACGGCCACACUGGAACUGAGACACGGUCCAGACUCCUACGGGAGGCAGCAGUGGGGAAUCUUCCGCAAUGGGCGAAAGCCUGACGGAGCAACGCCGCGUGGGUGAUGAAGGUUUUCGGAUCGUAAAACCCUGUCAGGAAGGAAGAAAAAGGACGGUACUUCCAAAGGAAGCCCCGGCUAACUACGUGCCAGCAGCCGCGGUAAUACGUAGGGGGCAAGCGUUGUCCGGAAUCACUGGGCGUAAAGAGCACGUAGGCGGCAUCUUAAGUCAGAUGUGAAAUAUCCCGGCUCAACCGGGAGGGUGCAUUUGAUACUGAGAAGCUAGAGUACAGAAGAGGAAAGUGGAAUUCCUAGUGUAGCGGUGAAAUGCGUAGAUAUUAGGAGGAACACCAGUGGCGAAGGCGGCUUUCUGGUCUGAAACUGACGCUGAGGUGCGAAAGCCAGGGGAGCAAACGGGAUUAGAUACCCCGGUAGUCCUGGCCGUAAACGAUGGGUACUAGGUGUAGGAGGUAUCGACCCCUUCUGUGCCGCAGUCAACACAAUAAGUACCCCGCCUGGGGAGUACGGUCGCAAGACUGAAACUCAAAAGAAUUGACGGGGGCCCGCACAAGCGGUGGAGCAUGUGGUUUAAUUCGACGCAACGCGAAGAACCUUACCAGGGCUUGACAUCCCUUGACAGUCAUAGAAAUAUGGUCUUUUAGUGCUUGCACUAGACAAGGAGACAGGUGGUGCAUGGUUGUCGUCAGCUCGUGUCGUGAGAUGUUGGGUUAAGUCCCGCAACGAGCGCAACCCCUAUGCUUAGUUGCCAGCGAGUAAAGUCGGGAACUCUAAGCAGACUGCCGGUGACAAACCGGAGGAAGGUGGGGAUGACGUCAAAUCAUCAUGCCCCUUAUGUUCUGGGCUACACACGUGCUACAAUGGCCUGUACAGAGGGAAGCGAAACUGUGAAGUGAAGCCAAUCUCAAAAAACAGGUCCCAGUUCGGAUUGUAGGCUGCAACUCGCCUACAUGAAGUUGGAAUCGCUAGUAAUCGCAGGUCAGCAUACUGCGGUGAAUACGUUCCCGGGCCUUGUACACACCGCCCGUCACACCACGAGAGUUUGCAACACCCGAAGCUGGUGAGCUAACCGCAAGGAAGCAGCCAUCGAAGGUGGGGUAAGUGAUUGGGGUGAAGUCGUAACAAGGUAACC